rnacentral:rRNA from 1 species
CCCUUAGAUGUUCUGGGCCGCACGCGCGCUACACUGAUACGUUCAACGAGCUCCUUGGCCGAGAGGCCCGGGUAAUCUUUGAAACCGUAUCGUGAUGGGGAUAGAACAUUGCAAUUAUUGUUCUUCAACGAGGAAUGCCUAGUAAGCGCGAGUCAUCAUCUCGCGUUGAUUACGUCCCUGCCCUUUGUACACACCGCCCGUCGCUCCUACCGAUUGAACGUGCUGGUGAAGCGUUAGGACUGGAGGUCUUGGGCCGGUUCGCCUGCCCAUAGCUUCGGGAAUUUCGUUGAACCCUCCCGUUUAGAGGAAGGAGAAGUCGUAACA